GCCGGGUGCAGUGGCAUGUACCUAUAGUCCCAGCUACUCGGGAAGCUGAGAUAGGAGGACUGCUUGAGUCCAGGAGUUCUGGGCUGUAGUGCACUAUGCCAAUUGGGUAUCGUCACUAAGUUCAGCAUCAAUAUGAUGACCUCUCGGGAGCCGGGGACCACCAGGUUGCAUAAGGAGGGGUGAACCGCCCCAGGUCGGAAACGGAGCAGGUCAAAACUCCCGUGCUGAUCUGUAGUGGGAUCAUGCCUGUGAAAAGCCACUGCACUCCAGCCUGGGCAACGUAGCGAGACCCCGUCUCU
rnacentral:SRP_RNA from 1 species